rnacentral:rRNA from 1 species
AGAGUUUGAUCAUGGCUCAGAUUGAACGCUGGCGGCAGGCCUAACACAUGCAAGUCGAGCGGUAGAGAGAAGCUUGCUUCUCUUGAGAGCGGCGGACGGGUGAGUAAAGCCUAGGAAUCUGCCUGGUAGUGGGGGAUAACGUUCGGAAACGGACGCUAAUACCGCAUACGUCCUACGGGAGAAAGCAGGGGACCUUCGGGCCUUGCGCUAUCAGAUGAGCCUAGGUCGGAUUAGCUAGUUGGUGAGGUAAUGGCUCACCAAGGCGACGAUCCGUAACUGGUCUGAGAGGAUGAUCAGUCACACUGGAACUGAGACACGGUCCAGACUCCUACGGGAGGCAGCAGUGGGGAAUAUUGGACAAUGGGCGAAAGCCUGAUCCAGCCAUGCCGCGUGUGUGAAGAAGGUCUUCGGAUUGUAAAGCACUUUAAGUUGGGAGGAAGGGCAGUUACCUAAUACGUGAUUGUUUUGACGUUACCGACAGAAUAAGCACCGGCUAACUCUGUGCCAGCAGCCGCGGUAAUACAGAGGGUGCAAGCGUUAAUCGGAAUUACUGGGCGUAAAGCGCGCGUAGGUGGUUUGUUAAGUUGGAUGUGAAAUCCCCGGGCUCAACCUGGGAACUGCAUUCAAAACUGACUGACUAGAGUGUGGUAGAGGGUGGUGGAAUUUCCUGUGUAGCGGUGAAAUGCGUAGAUAUAGGAAGGAACACCAGUGGCGAAGGCGACCACCUGGACCAACACUGACACUGAGGUGCGAAAGCGUGGGGAGCAAACAGGAUUAGAUACCCUGGUAGUCCACGCCGUAAACGAUGUCAACUAGCCGUUGGGAGCCUUGAGCUCUUAGUGGCGCAGCUAACGCAUUAAGUUGACCGCCUGGGGAGUACGGCCGCAAGGUUAAAACUCAAAUGAAUUGACGGGGGCCCGCACAAGCGGUGGAGCAUGU